GAUGAACGCUAGCGGCAGGCUUAAUACAUGCAAGUCGAGGGGCAGCGGGUGUAGCAAUACAUGCCGGCGACCGGCGCACGGGUGCGUAACGCGUAUGCAACCUACCUUUAACCGGAGGAUAGCCCCGAGAAAUCGGGAUUAAUACUCCAUAAUAUUAUGAAGAGGCAUCUCCUUAUAAUUAAAGCUCAGGCGGUUUUAGAUGGGCAUGCGUGACAUUAGCUAGUUGGUGAGGUGACGGCUCACCAAGGCUACGAUGUCUAGGGGUUCUGAGAGGAUUAUCCCCCACACUGGUACUGAGACACGGACCAGACUCCUACGGGAGGCAG
rnacentral:rRNA from 1 species